rnacentral:rRNA from 1 species
GAUGAACGCUAGCUACAGGCUUAACACAUGCAAGUCGAGGGGAAACGAUAUUGGAAGCUUGCUUCCGAUAGGCGUCGACCGGCGCACGGGUGAGUAACGCGUAUCCAACCUGCCCAUCACUUGGGGAUAACCUUGCGAAAGUAAGACUAAUACCCAAUGAUAUCUCCAGAAGACAUCUGAAAGGGAUUAAAGAUUUAUCGGUGAUGGAUGGGGAUGCGUCUGAUUAGCUUGUUGGCGGGGUAACGGCCCACCAAGGCGACGAUCAGUAGGGGUUCUGAGAGGAAGGUCCCCCACAUUGGAACUGAGACACGGUCCAAACUCCUACGGGAGGCAGCAGUGAGGAAUAUUGGUCAAUGGACGAGAGUCUGAACCAGCCAAGUAGCGUGCAGGAUGACGGCCCUAUGGGUUGUAAACUGCUUUUAUAAGGGAGUAAAGUGAGCCUCGUGAGGCUUUUUGCAUGUACCUUAUGAAUAAGGACCGGCUAAUUCCGUGCCAGCCGCCGCCGUAA